rnacentral:rRNA from 1 species
GUUGAACGCUGGCGGGAUGCUUUACACAUGCAAGUCGAACGGCAGCACGGGUGCUUGCACCUGGUGGCGAGUGGCGAACGGGUGAGUAAUACAUCGGAACGUACCCAGUUAUGGGGGAUAACUAACCGAAAGGUUGGCUAAUACCGCAUACGCCCUGAGGGGGAAAGCGGGGGACCGUAAGGCCACGCGUAAUUGGAGCGGCCGCUGUCUGAUUAGCUAGUUGGUGAGGUAAAGGCUCACCAAGGCGACGAUCAGGAGCAGGUCUGAGAGGAUGAUCUGCCACACUGGAACGGAGACACGGUCCAGACUCCUACGGGAGGCAGCAGUGGGGAAUUUUGGAUAAUGGGCGAAAGCCUGAUCCAGCCAUUCCGCGUGAGUGAAGAAGGCCUUCGGGUUGUAAAGCUCUUUCGGCAGGGAAGAAACGGUCUAGGUUAAUACCUUGGGCUAAUGACGGUACCUGAAGAAGAAGCACCGGCUAACUACGUGCCAGCAGCCGCGGUAA